rnacentral:rRNA from 1 species
UACGUAGGGUGCGAGCGUUGUCCGGAAUUAUUGGGCGUAAAGAGCUUGUAGGCGGUUUGUCGCGUCUGCUGUGAAAAUCCGAGGCUCAACCUCGGACUUGCAGUGGGUACGGGCAGACUAGAGUGUGGUAGGGGAGACUGGAAUUCCUGGUGUAGCGGUGGAAUGCGCAGAUAUCAGGAGGAACACCGAUGGCGAAGGCAGGUCUCUGGGCCAUUAACUGACACUGGAGAAG